AAAUUAACUAAGUUAAGAAGUUUUACUAGGUUUAUAGAAAAAUACAGUAACAUUUAUAACAUUAAAUUAGUUUUAUUAAAUCUACCAUUAAAUAUAUUUUAAUAGCUUCUUUGUUUUAUGUUGAAAAAUUAUUAUAUUUUUUUUAUAAAAUUUGGCCAAAGCUAAAUAAGGUUGACUUAAAAAAAAAGUCAAAACGGCUUAUAGUAUGAAACGAAUGUUGUAUAUAUCAAUGUAUCUGGUGUCGGGUGCCCCAUAUCCAAUCAAACAUAAAUAAGAGAGAUCUCUGAAUGACAACAUACGGAGAUACGGACAAGCCCUUAUCUGACAAUGAUGCAAAGCGGCAUAGACAACUGCCUGAUCUGAAGACAUCACUAGAGAGAAGACAAGUUCACUGAAAUGCAUCAAUGCGAGAAGUUUCAGAGAGGUGAACAAUGCCACUACUGUUGGUGUCAUUAUCAUGCAACAUAAGCAAGUGAGACUGGACUUCACUGUUGCGUGCACACAAGGGACAUUACACAAAUGCAUAUCUAUAAAAAAAAAGAAAUGCAGAUUAUGCAGCCCUACGUAAUUAAACUAUCUAAAAGCAAGUAGAAAGUAUGUGUUUAUGAUCUGUCAUUAACUCUUCCUUUAAUCUAGCCUUGCUAGUUGGGUGAGAUUAGGGGAGCAGAACAUAGAGGCGACAAGGAGUGUUUCACUGACAUGCAGGGCCUGGAGCAUGAAGCCGACAGGUUUAGACCACAUUUUAGUUAUAGUUUAGUUGCUGGCCAGCGAAGAUUAGCUAGAUGGAAAGCAAAGACUUAGCGUGCAUGCUCUGCAGUGUGUUCCUUUCAGUGUCAGAAAAGGGUCGGCGUGUUGAUCAGUUGCAGUUGCAGAAGGCAGAUAGGCAGAUGCCUCGCUCUUCGCGUCUUCGUUCGGUCGGUGGAAUGUGCAAGUUAAGCUAAGGAUGGCGAUGGGUGAACCAUCACGUAACAAGACAUCAACUACUAGCUUCUUUGCAAGUUGCAGCUAAUGGUGAGUAUCAAGCUUCGUCCUGGCAACAUGUGGUGUAGCUCAAGUGGUCAAGCCUUCUUGUGUCCGCUCAUGGCAAGAAUCCGUUGUGCCAGUGCUGUUUGCUGAACUGAAGCUGCAUGGUUCAGGUUCAGGUUCUCUCUAUCCAAAACUCCAAAUCUGUGAGCUUCUUAUCAGCAAAAGCAGGCGUACGAUACUCAGAUCAGAGUCUCACAGAAUGACUAGCUAGAUCUGGAUCUUGGGACCUCAUUAAUUGUUUAGAGAUUCUUGCUCAUCUGUAAAGCUGCUCAGGGAUGGGCAAGUUGGCCACGCCCUUACCUCUUCCAAGUUAAACGACAUACUACUACUGCUAGUACAGUACUCUCUCCGUCCCAAAAUGUAACUAUUUCUAGCACAGUGUCUUAUCUCAAAAUGAAGCUAUUUCUUCACCUACCUCCUCCUCUCAACCAAUCACAACUAUUCUUCUUCACCUACUUUCUCUUUUCAACUAAUCACACACUUCCUCCAAUCAUUCUCACAUACUUUCUUAAUACCCGUGCCAACCUCAAAAAUAGCUUUAUUUUGGGACGGAGGAAGUAUGUGAUUAUGUCCACUCCAUACUGAAAAGUGGCUUGAGCCUCUGAAUGAUUUUGUUCUUGCUACAUGACCUGGUUGUUCAUACAGAGUUUACAUACUGCCCUUGUGUUUUCACUGAUCUUCCAGUGCGAGAGAGAGAAUGAACAAAUCCUUCCUACUUGUAUCAGCUAGAAAUUCAUUUCGUAUCAAACCUUCCCACAUUAGGAUUCUUUGUAUCAGCUAGAAAUUCAUUUCGUAUCAAACCUUCCCACAUUAGGAUUCCUUGUUAAUAGUUGAUUCCGAUCUAAUUUCGUAUUAAGCUUUAUCGAUUCCGACCUAAUUUGAACUUUCGCGAAGGUAUAACCAAGAGAAAUUGAUUAGGUCCAGGUUCUCCUAACUUUGUCUUGAUUUUUUUCCAACUCUGUAUUAACUAAAUUUCAAGUUUGAACAAAACGUAGAACGGCCCGGGUUUAUGCAACAUGUUAUACAGCUGAAGACACAAGAAGCAGGGGUUAAUGUCUAGCAAAGUUCCUUAAAGAGAGAUUCAAAAAAGUGCACAUCGCUCAGUAUAACAAGGGCAAAACUGAAAAGCAAAGAUCGCCAAAAACUGUUUUCUCUAUAUCUUUAGCUCAUCCUUGGAGACAUGGAAUACAUGCAGAACAAAACAAAUUCGACAGGAGCUGGUAUCAGGCUAUCAGCUAGUAGAGAUGGCAUUCAACUACUGAAAGGAACACAUCAAAAAAUUCGGUUCCCUUUUCUCUCACUUCUACACAUUCCACUUAUUUCCUUGCUCAAUAUAAUCUUAAACACCAGCAUUAUCGGGGUUAGAACACCCUCGCAACCAAUUGUGUAAAACAGUGUAAUGCUUCCAGCUUAAUUGAUCACAUAAAUCAGGUAAUAAGAUAAAUUGAGCAAAUAAAAUUGACCUUCUUCCUUUGGGUGGUGGCUAUUGAGAAAAUUGCCAAAAACCCUCGGUCAACCGAAUCCAAAGGUUAUUGCAUGCAAAAAAGUUGAAUCUCAUCCGACUUCGUGGCUGUCCAAAUGACAGGCACUUUUUCUCUGGAUGGAAUUACAUGGUGCGCUCUCUGAUGACUAUAUUUUGUGGCUGAUCAGAAUAAUGUCAGCCAUAUUUGUUCCAAAUCAGACAGCAGUUGCUCUUUCACAAGCUUUGUAGUAAAGUGUCUUCUGCACAUAGAAGAGCAUGUAUGCCUGAGAGGUUCUGACAGUAUGCUCUUCAACUCUGGUUACCCAGGCAUCAUCACAUUUGUACCAGUGAUUGUUUAACCUGAGAUAUGUCACAUAAUGGCCAGCUUCUAGCUUACCACUAUGCAUGAUCACCGCAAAUAUUUCAAAUUCUGAUGAAAAUUCAGAAACUGAAUCUGCAUCACUAGCUUCUGAUGGAAAUAUACGGUUCCCAAAUCUGCUUCUGAGUAUAGAGGACGAUAGAUAUGGCGCCAUGUCAAGAGAAAAAGGAAACUGUAAACAGUGAUCAACCUUCCUUGACAUUUUCUUAACUGAUGAAUGCUCAAACCUCUUAAUAUGAAAGCAUGAAACCAAUGGAAGCCUCCGAAUGGACAUUUGCUUCAGGGACUCUUGCCUCUCCUUGCAACGUUCACAGAAGAACUUCUGUUCAGCAUCCAACCGCUCAGCCCUUGUAAACCGCUCCAAACAUCUCAUGAGUGUUGAUACCUUGGUAUUAGUGCCACCUGAGCUUCGCUCUCCAUUCCGCACAUGUACCUUUGGGUUUGCAACACCAAGAGAAUUGUUAUAUCCAGCAUCCAAGUCUAGAGAGAUGUCCAUACAGGGUUCAAAAGUUGUUGAUGUGAACCCACAAUGUGUGCAGGUGACAUCUGAUCUCAAGAUGCCAGAAAAUACCCUGUGUGCAAUGCAACAAUCUCCAUGGCCUAUUAGGGAAAAAAAUACACAUAAUGGUUAGAUCUAUAACAGCUCAUCUGCCUCAAUAUAAAUCAUAGUUCAGCCUAUCAAAAGCAAGAUAGAAUAUGUUCUCCACUACAACAAAAAAGAGAAAAAACACAUUUGUCCAAUUUGUUCCCCAAUAUCCAAAUAGUACAGGACUACCAUUUUCCACGACUUAUCCUGUUUUCGUUUUUAGGGUGUAGAACCUACUGUAGAGUCAUCCUCCAAAGAAGAGUAGGAGUGACAAAUAAUAAAAAUAGUACAAAAGCAGCCACAAAUGUUCACUAUGCACCACACUACCAGCAACAGAUGGAUUUAGAUAUGCUUUUUGCUUCAACCAAAAAUAAAAAUAAAAAUAAAAAUAAAACUGGUAUUGAUUCAUUCUUGGCUCAAGGGUGCACUGUUUUCACAAUAAAAGGGUGGAUAGAGUCAUCCUCCAAAGAAGAGUAGGAGUGACAAAUAAUAAAAAUAGUACAAAAGCAGCCACAAAUGUUCACUAUGCACCACACUACCAGCAACAGAUGGAUUUAGAUAUGCUUUUUGCUUCAACCAAAAAUAAAAAUAAAAAUAAAACUGGUAUUGAUUCAUUCUUGGCUCAAGGGUGCACUGUUUUCACAAUAAAAGGGUGGAUAUUCUUCUUUUCUUUUCACAUAUCAGUUCAGUUGAAUAGAUGGAAAAGCUUUAAUUUAAAUAGUAGCAGGAGAGAAGCUAACUACCUUGGGCAAGUGAUUUGUGUUGAUCAUCCUUUAUAUUUUCAUGGAUAUGGUCAAGGAUGGAGAUAAAAAAUUCAUGUGCAUCCUGUUGCUCGUAGCUCGCAAGAUUUGAUGCAUGCUGCCACCAGCUAACAAACAUAACGACAAUAAUCAGAAGAAAAACAAUCACUUUAAUUCAUGAACCAGAAUAAAGUAGUAUGCCAUGUUACUGUGCAAGUCCAAGUUCGUCAAACCAGAUCAGCCGCAAAAAAAGACUUCACAUAUUUAAAUUUCACAUAGAUAUAAACUAAAGUUUAAAAAUAUUACUUCGGCUUUUUUUAGAACACCAUUACUUUGGCUUGAUAAUUACCCUUUGUGUCACAUAAUGUCACACUAUGAUCACAACAGUUUGCUGAAUACCCAUAGGGCAUAAACAAGAAUAUUACGAUGAACGAAUUGUAAAAACAUAUCCUGGUAAAGUAUCAGCAGUGCUAGCAAUAACUUAUGUACCUGCCACAUACUUGUACACUAUCCUUCGCAGCAGCAAGAUAUGAUGUCAUUGCAGAAAAUUUUAACUUAAAUUAUGCAAUUCACUCAUAUGACUUGGCCCAUAUCCAAUGAUAGAGCAAAUAGCUUCAAAUGCACCUGAUAAGAAGGUGCUCUGAAGAAUUAAAAACUGGUCAUGCAUUUUGGAGUACUUGUACUUGAUACAUGAACAUAGCUCAACAAAUUCUAAGCAUGCGAAAUGUACUUAAGACCAUAUGACAUUUUAUCAAUCAGGUCAUGUGCAUCCAAACGUGAAACCGUUACCCUUUCUAGCGAAACAUAUGGAACAGAUCUCGCCCUUUUAGUAGCAUAUCUUGCUCACAUCAUCCCAUUUCAUGCUAACUGAUAAGUAGUUCCAAAUUGCAACCUACAUAAUCAUGAUCUACGUCAAACAGUUUCAAGGCAUAGCGUACAAACAACACUAUCAUUUGCAAGAGACUGAUACAAUUCGAUCCCAAACUAGUUACAAUACAUGACGCACCCAUUUCAUAUAACGGAUUCAUCUUAAUAACUUUCCAAGUACGCAACGAACCCAACAUUAAAAAAGCAGCACGUUGCUCAAAAAACACCCAACGACAUCAACCCAAUGCAAACAGAGCGCUAGAUCCAGACCUAUAGAGGAAUUUGGCGGGGCUGUAGGGCGUGCGCUCCCCGGAAAAGGCGGCGGAGUAGAUCUCGUCGAGAUCGCACGCCAGGCACGCCGCCUUGUCGUUUGCCUCGGCGGAACGGCGCCUCAUGGGCGUCUGGCGCGGGCAGAGGUAGCGGUUGUGCCGAUCGCCGAGGAAGUAGUUCCGGAGCGGCGGCGCGUGUAGCAGAGCCUGGAGCACGGAGUUCAUGAAGCACGUGUUGCCUAGGUUGUUGAGCCCGCGGAGCCCCGCGGGCGCGGCGGCGGAUGCGGAGGUGGUGGGAUCGGCGGAGCUGAUGAGCGCGAAUUCGGCCGGAUCUGGUGCCCAGGCGCGGUACUCGACGCGGCGGCGCUUGCGGGGCGCGGCGGGGGAAGGGGAGGGGGAAGCGGAUGCCGAUGGGGGAGGAGGGAGGAGGACUUGGCGAGGACGACGGCGUGGUCGAAGUCCGGAUCGUAGACCUGAUCCCCGCACGCCCCGCAGAAGAGCUCGGCGCGGUCGACGUCGACGGCGAUCUGGUGGCCGCCGGAUGUUGAGGCGGAGGCGUUGGAGGCGGCGUUGGUGGGGCAGAAGACGGCGGCGCAGUGAGAGUGCAGGCGUAGAGUGCGGGACGAGGAGGAGGUGGGGGAGGAGCAGGGGGAGCAGCGGGGGAGCUCGCGAGUGCUCGCGGCGGAUCUCGGGGCGUGCCGAGCGGGCUGUGACGCGGAGUGCAGCUGGCUGGAGUGAAGCGGAGUGGAGCGCGUGGUGUGGCGGUACGCGGCGAGGUGCGGGCACGGCGGCGGCGCGGACGGGGUGGUCAUCGGGGCGGGGAAUGUGGGGGAUGAGGCGGUGGGCGCGGGAGUGGGAGGCGAGCGGUGCGGGGAUGGGGGGGUGGAGUGGCGGCGGCUGCUGGUGAUGGCGCGGGGGUGAGGUGGAGGUGACGGUCGGGAUGGUGGUGGUGGAUCGUAUAUCUUCUCGUGGACUCGUGGGUCGCGCUGAGCAGAGGCGUGCACGGCGAUCUUGGAUGGGCGCGUGGCGCGGGUGAUCACUGAUCAGGUAAUCAGGUUACUACUGUGGUGUGUAGCGCUAGGCACAGCAAAUUCAGGCGACGGUCAUCCUAUCAAAGUUCGGGCUAACACGAACGGAAAUUACACAAAAUUAUAUGAAUUCGAAACCUUAUAUAGGGUGUGUUUAGUUUUUAAAAAAAAGUUGAAAGUUUGAAGAAAGUUGAGAGUUUAAAAAAAAAAUUGAAAGUUUACAUGUAUAGUUUUUUAUGUGAUAUGAUGUGAUGGAAAGUUGGGAAUAUAGGGAAAACUAAACACAGCCAUAAACUAUACUUGAGAAACAGAGAUCAAGAUUACACCAUUUGCAAAGAGAGAUGCGAAUAAUUUAGAGUUGACUCUUAUCACUUCACGGAGACUUGGGAGAUACUACCAGCAAGUUCUUCGUCUGAUAUUCUCUCAUGCGUAGAGGCUUCUUGAAGACUUGAACUUUAAAGCGCAUGAAUGCAUGAUCAUACCCAUGCUGUAUGUUGGCAUUUUUGCCAACAGUGGCAUAUGUAAGGUAAAAAAGACUCUGCAUCAGCAUUUGGCCAUUUGCUUUGACGAGUUACCGUAGCUGGGCUCUUUGGGGGAAAGGUAAAUCACGCAAAACAUUUUAGCACUAUGCCACGCUAGCCGUAUGAAUGAAUCGAUUUUCACAUCAAAUUCAGGUCACUCUGAAUCUGCAAGCAUGAAAUUGGCCGGUGGCAUACAGCCUGAACGUCUACGCUACAAACUAACAGACCAAUUGUACUGGUUUGCAGUCGGUAAGUCAGCAGAGAAUAAACCUACAAUAUAUAUCACGACAGGGUAAUUAAAUACACUUCAUAUCAUUAGAUGAUUUGAACUUAAAAUUUUUUACUAUUCUUCUAAUAUAUUUUUUGCGCGUUCGAAAAAAAAAUCUUUACAAAACGAAGA
rnacentral:lncRNA from 1 species